rnacentral:rRNA from 1 species
GAGUAACGCGUGAGUAACCUGCCCUGGAGUGGGGGACAACAGUUGGAAACGACUGCUAAUACCGCAUAAGCCCACGGCCCGGCAUCGGGCUGAGGGAAAAGGAUUUAUUCGCUUCAGGAUGGACUCGCGUCCAAUUAGCUAGUUGGUGAGGUAACGGCCCACCAAGGCAACGAUUGGUAGCCGGACUGAGAGGUUGAACGGCCACAUUGGGACUGAGACACGGCCCAGACUCCUACGGGAGGCAGCAGUGGGGGAUAUUGCACAAUGGGGGAAACCCUGAUGCAGCGACGCCGCGUGGAGGAAGAAGGUUUUCGGAUUGUAAACUCCUGUCGUUAGGGACGAUAAUGACGGUACCUAACAAGAAAGCACCGGCUAACUACGUGCCAGCAGCCGCGGUAAAACGUAGGGUGCAAGCGUUGUCCGGAAUUACUGGGUGUAAAGGGAGCGCAGGCGGACCGGCAAGUUGGAAGUGAAAACUAUGGGCUCAACCCAUAAAUUGCUUUCAAAACUGCUGGCCUUGAGUAGUGCAGAGGUAGGUGGAAUUCCCGGUGUAGCGGUGGAAUGCGUAGAUAUCGGGAGGAACACCAGUGGCGAAGGCGACCUACUGGGCACCAACUGACGCUGAGGCUCGAAAGCAUGGGUAGCAAACAGGAUUAGAUACCCUGGUAGUCCAUGCCGUAAACGAUGAUUACUAGGUGUUGGAGGAUUGACCCCUUCAGUGCCGCAGUUAACACAAUAAGUAAUCCACCUGGGGAGUACGACCGCAAGGUUGAAACUCAA